UACGGAGGGGGCAAGCGUUAUCCGGAAUUAUUGGGCGUAAAGCGUCCGUAGGUGGCUAGUCAAGUCUGCGGUCAAAGACUGGGGCUUAACCCUGGAAAGGCCGUGGAAACUGACGAGCUAGAGUGCAGUAGGGGUAGAGGGAAUUCCCGGUGUAGCGGUGAAAUGCGUAGAGCUCGGGAAGAACAUCGGUGGCGAAAGCGCUCUACUGGACUGCAACUGACACUCAGGGACGAAAGCUAGGGGAGCGAAUGGG
rnacentral:rRNA from 1 species